rnacentral:rRNA from 1 species
GAUGAACGCUGGCGGCGUGCCUAAUACAUGCAAGUCGAGCGAACGGACGAGAAGCUUGCUUUUCUGAUGUUAGCGGCGGACGGGUGAGUAACACGUGGAUAACCUACCUAUAAGACUGGGAUAACUUCGGGAAACCGGAGCUAAUACCGGAUAAUAUUUUGAACCGCAUGGUUCAAAAGUUAAAGACGGUCUUGCUGUCACUUAUAGAUGGAUCCGCGCUGCAUUAGCUAGUUGGUAAGGUAACGGCUUACCAAGGCAACGAUGCAUAGCCGACCUGAGAGGGUGAUCGGCCACACUGGAACUGAGACACGGUCCAGACUCCUACGGGAGGCAGCAGUAGGGAAUCUUCCGCAAAGGGCGAAAGCCUGACGGAGCAACGCCGCGUGAGUGAUGAAGGUCUUCGGAUCGUAAAACUCUGUUAUUAGGGAAGAACAUAUGUGUAAGUAACUGUGCACAUCUUGACGGUACCUAAUCAGAAAGCCACGGCUAACUACGUG